rnacentral:tRNA from 1 species
GUUUUAAUAGUUUAGUAAAAAAUAUUAUAUUGUGGAUAUAAAGACACAUAAGUUUAAAGCA